rnacentral:rRNA from 1 species
GAUGAACGCUAGCUACAGGCUUAACACAUGCAAGUCGAGGGGCAGCAUGAACAAAGCUUGCUUUGUUUGAUGGCGACCGGCGCACGGGUGCGUAACACGUAUCCAAUCUGCCCGCGGCUCGGGGAUAGCCCAUCGAAAGAUGGAUUAAUACCCGAUGGCGUGGUCACUCCGCACGGGGUUUCCACUAAAGGUUUUCCGGCCGCGGAUGAGGAGGCGUAUGAUUAGGUAGUAGGCGGGGUAACGGCCCACCUAGCCUUCGAUCAUUAGGGGUUCUGAGAGGAAGGUCCCCCACACUGGAACUGAGACACGGUCCAGACUCCUACGGGAGGCAGCAGUGAGGAAUAUUGGUCAAUGGGCGAGAGCCUGAACCAGCCAAGUAGCGUGAAGGAAGACUGCCCUAUGGGUUGUAAACUUCUUUUGUUCGGGAAUAAAGUGCAGUAUGUAUACUGUUUUGUAUGUACCGUUCGAAUAAGCAUCGGCUAAUUCCGUGCCAGCCGCCGCCGUAAUAC